AGAGUUUGAUCAUGGCUCAGGACGAACGCUGGCGGCGUGCCUAAUACAUGCAAGUCGAGCGGAAACUUGGGAGCUUGCUCCCGAGUUUUAGCGGCGGACGGGUGAGUAACACGUGGGCAACCUGCCCUGCAGAUCGGGAUAACUCCGGGAAACCGGUGCUAAUACCGAAUAGUUUAUCGCCUCUCCUGAGGCGGUACGGAAAGACGGUUUCGGCUGUCACUGCAGGAUGGGCCCGCGGCGCAUUAGCUAGUUGGUGGGGUAAUGGCCCACCAAGGCGACGAUGCGUAGCCGACCUGAGAGGGUGAUCGGCCACACUGGGACUGAGACACGGCCCAGACUCCUACGGGAGGCAGCAGUAGGGAAUCUUCCGCAAUGGACGCAAGUCUGACGGAGCAACGCCGCGUGAGUGACGAAGGUUUUCGGAUCGUAAAACUCUGUUGUGAGGGAAGAACAAGUGCCAACUAACUACUGGCACCUUGACGGUACCUCACCAGAAAGCCACGGCUAACUACGUGCCAGCAGCCGCGGUAAUACGUAGGUGGCAAGCGUUGUCCGGAAUUAUUGGGCGUAAAGCGCGCGCAGGCGGUCCUUUAAGUCUGAUGUGAAAGCCCACGGCUCAACCGUGGAGGGUCAUUGGAAACUGGAGGACUUGAGUGCAGAAGAGGAAAGUGGAAUUCCAUGUGUAGCGGUGAAAUGCGUAGAGAUGUGGAGGAACACCAGUGGCGAAGGCGACUUUCUGGUCUGUAACUGACGCUGAGGCGCGAAAGCGUGGGGAGCAAACAGGAUUAGAUACCCCCGUAGUCC
rnacentral:rRNA from 1 species